GGGGGCAUCGUUCAGUGGUAGGACGGAGAUCUCCAAAAUCUCAGACUAGGGUUCGAUUCCUUAUGCCCCCG
rnacentral:tRNA from 1 species